rnacentral:lncRNA from 1 species
AAAGUAGUCAGCAUUAUUAAAAGACCUGAUUACCUGAAAUCCAUCUCUGCAUAUUUAUAGAGAACCUAGAAAGAAUGUUACUUGAAACAACUCCCAAACUGAGCAUGGUAGUACAAGCCUUUAAUUCUGGUAAUUAAGAGGCAGAGUUAGAGUCAGGCAGUGGUGGUUCAUGCCUUUAAUCCAAGAACUCAGGAAGCGAAGGCAGAUGGAUCUCUGAGUUCAAGGCCAGCUCUGGUCUACAGAGCAAGCUUCAAGACAGCCAGAAACUACAUGGUGGAAGGAAGGAACCAACUUUUUCAAGUGGUCUUCUGACCUUCACAUUUCCACCAUGGUGCAUGUGCAGCCACCCACUCACCUAAACAGAUACACAUGAUAGAUAGACAGACAGACUGACCUACCACUUCAGGAGAUUAACAUUUUUGGCAUUUUUUGCUUUAUAUGCAUGUAUUUACAGGUGUAUUUGUGGUUUUCUUUCCUUGUUUUGGGUUGGUUGUUAACUUUUUUUUUUUUUUUUUUUUUGGUUUUGUUUUGUUUUGUUUUUCGAGACAGGGUUUCUCUGUAUAGCCCUGGCUGUCCUGGAACUCACUCUGUAGACCAGGCUGGCCUCGAACUCAAAAAUCCACCUGCCUCUGCCUCCCAAGUGCUGGGAUUAAAGGAGUGCGCCACCACCACCUGACGUGGGAUUUUUUUUUUUUUUUUUGGUUUUGGGGUUUUUGUUGUUGUUGUUGUUAUUUUGGGUUUUUUUUUUUUUUUUGGCAAAAUAUUUUAAAAGUAAAUUAAAUUCAUUCUCUAAAUGAAUCAGUUUGUUUUUUCUGAGAAUAAGGACUUUCUUCUUCAUAUUCACAAGACCAUUUAUCAUAUCCAUGAAAGCUUACAGUUAUUUCCUGACAUCAAUUACGAUCUAGUUUACAUCUACAUUUUCACAUCUCUUUCAACAGUGUGAUUUUUGGGGAAUAUGUGCUGGAUCAAGCUCACCGUCUUCUGAGCACUAGCUUCUGAGCUACACCGUCAACCCCAAAAUGUGUUUAAAGGAGGUUUCUACAAAUCAGUAUUCAACCAAGUUUCCGGAAUUAUGCUUAAUUUUAUCUCAUUUAUUUUAGAAAAUGUUCACCUUUUGGGUUUUUGAGACAGGAUCUCUCUAUGUAGCCCUGACUGUUCUGGUCUGGAACUCACUUUGUAGACCAGGCUGACCUGGAAUUCAUAGAGACCCACAUGCCUCUGACUUCCCCAAUGCUAGUUUUAAAAGUGUGCACCACAAUCCCCAGGACAAGAACUCAAACAGGGUCUAGAUCUAGAGGCAAGAGCUGAUGCAGAGGCCAUGGAGGAUUGCUGCUUACUGGCUUCCUACUUCCCCUACUUUCUUAAAGAGCCUAAGACCAUCAGUUCAGGGGUGGCCCACCCACAGUGGGCUAGGCCCUUCCCCAUCAAUUACUAAGAAUAUACAAAACUAUCUUAUGAAGGCAGAUUCUGUCCAUCUGUCUUUCUCUUUCUUCCUUUCUCUCUUUCUCUCUCUCUCCUUUCUUUCUUUCUUUCUUCCUUUCUUCUGCCCUUCCUCCUCCUCCUCUUCUUUUAGUUUUUCAAGACAGGGUUUCUCCACAUAUCCCUCGCCGUCCUAGAACUCUCUAGAGUAGAACUAGGCCUCAAACUCAGGGAUCCGCCUCCUCUACCUCCCACGUGCUGGGAUUAAAGGUGUUAAUCCCAUCGCCAUCAUCACUGGCAAAAAGAAUCUUAGGGAAAGACACAGGAUCCAUGUUUACUUCUUGAAGUGUUGGGGAUUGGAUGUAGGCAUCUCUCUUGUAAACAUUUCCUGUGUCAGUGAGCUACACUCACAGCCCCACAUUUAUCUUAAUAACUAUGCCACUAAUACUGACUCAGCACCCACAAGUCCUGAUUUAAUUAAAGUGUAACUGUUAAAAAAAAAUAUUCUAGAACUCAUGGAGCUGACCCAAAGGAGAUCUGAGAAUUUUGAGGAUAGUCUGGAAUACCUCGUGAGAACUUUUGGGGAAGAAAGGCAGAGAACAGAAAGAAAAGGGCACUUGCAAUGGUUCUAUGAGUCCCCAAGAUGGCAGCAAAUACAGGUUAUAGCUAAAGAUUAAGCAGCGGUGGCAAACCUACUGAUAUAUCUCUCUCUCUGUAGAUAUCUAUAUGUAUGUAUGUAUGUAUGUAUCAAUCUAUCCCAAAUUCACUUGGAGGCUAGCAUUGUGAUACCAACUAUAAUCUCAGCACAAGGGGGGCAGGAGGGUCAGAAAUCCAAGGUCAGCCUUGAUUACAGGUGAGGCCAGUAUGUGAUAUAUGAGACUUUGUUUCCGAAGAAAGGAAGAAAAAGAAAGGAAGGAAGGAAGAAAGAAAGAAAGAAAGAAAGAAAGAAAGAAAGAAAGAAAGAAAGGAAGGAAGGAAGGAAGGAAGG